AACGGUAUCUAUCUUACCCCACAGUACUAAAUGGUUAUCAAUUUGUUACGGUAUAGUACUGUGGGGUAAGAUGGAUACCGUU
rnacentral:pre_miRNA from 1 species